UUAAAGACAGGGGUAGAUGUCAGGAAAGUAGAGGUUACAGGCAAAGUAAUAAAUCAAUGCAUGGAAAUUGCUCAUUGGAUUUGGCCUAACAGGGUGAAACAUCUUGAGGCAGGGGCUUACAGGUCACAGUAGAUUCAAAGAUGCUCCGAUUUGCAGUUUGUUAAGGAAGAGAAGCUUUGUUGAAAAAUUUGAGGUCAGUGGAAAAGAAUUAGCUCUGUCUGUGGGUAUAACUUUAUCCAGGCCCCUCAGGAUGUAAUUUAGAACAAAACAGUGGCCAGAGCUCAGCCCUCACCUCCUCAUUGCCUGGGGUCUCAGCGCCACUGCAUCCAUUUGGCGGGGACCCAGGUUUCUGAACAACAACUCAGGGACAUAUGUUAGAAUGUUAUCUUUAGCUUCCAAACGUCAUGUGAUUCUGGCUUUUUCAGCUGUUAUUUUAAGUUGCCAUUAGCUUCUUGCUUAUCAAGUUGCUUAUUUGUUUCCGAGGACCAGCUAGGUGCCUGGAGUUUCCCUUGAAGGAACUCAAGAUUGUCUUUUACUUUCAUGCGUAGAGGGGCUUUCACGCUUUUCAGUCAUCUUUCCCAACUGAUGGUUAGAAUCCAACAUCCUUUGCUGGCAGCAGAUUGGAAGUUGAAAGUGUCUAUGCUCCAGCCAAAGGCCACUGAGAACUCCGGUAGUGAAAAAGGUUUUGGGGUACACGUGAAGAACAUGCAAGAUUGUUGCAUAGGAACACACGUGGCAGUGUGAUUUGCUGCCUUCCUCCCCUUCACCUAUAUCUGGCAUUUCUCCCCAUGUUCUCUCUCCCCAACUCCCCACCCCCCACUGUCCCUCCCCUAUUUCCCCCCUAAAAACCCCAGUGUGUGAUGCUCCCCUCCCUGUGUCCAUGUGUUCUCAUUGUUCAACACCUGCCUAUAAGUGAGAAUAUGCGGUGUUUGAUUUUCUGUUCUUGUGUCAGUUUGCUGAGGUUCAUCCCUACAAAGGACAUGAACUCAUCAUUUUUGAUGGCUGCAUAAUAUUCCAUGGUGUAUAUGUGCCACAUUUUCCCUGUCCAAUCUAUCAUCGAUGUACAUUUGGGUUGGUUCCAGGUCUUUGCUAUUGUAAACUGCUGCAAUGAA